GGGCCCGCACAAGCGGUGGAGCAUGUGGUUUAAUUCGAAGAUACGCGCAGAACCUUACCAACACUUGACAUGUUCGUCGCGACUCUAAGAGAUUAGAGUUUUCGGUUCGGCCGGACGAAACACAGGUGCUGCAUGGCUGUCGUCAGCUCGUGUCGUGAGAUGUUGGGUUAAGUCCCGCAACGAGCGCAACCCUCACUUUUAGUUGCCAUCAUUAAGUUGGGCACUCUGAAAGAACUGCCAGUGAUAAGCUGGAGGAAGGUGGGGAUGACGUCAAGUCCUCAUGGCCCUUACGUGUUGGGCUACACACGUGCUACAAUGGUAUCUACAACAGGAAGCAAGACUGCGAAGUUUAGCAAAUCCCUAAAAGAUACCUCAGUUCGGAUUGCACUCUGCAACUCGAGUGCAUG
rnacentral:rRNA from 1 species